CUCGGGGAAGUGUUAGACUUUUAUAAUCACAUCACAUUAAUUCUACUAAUUGUAAUCAGUAGUAUUAUUUAGCCUUGUAGCGGCCUAAUGGAUUAGUAAUACUAGUAGUGGUGGUAGUAAUUGUAAUUUAUCUACUACAAGUUACAUGGUCAGAGUUAAAAUGUAUUUGUACAAUGCAACUAUGUGGUACAGUGGUAUGAUGAUAGAAAUGACCAAAUGCAGUUGUGUAACAAACAGCAUGGAUGAACUCUGUGUUUAAAUAUGAUACAGCUGCAGGAGUAGGGACAUCCAGUAGUAGUACUCCAGGGACCAGUGACACACAGGCCAGGAACACACAGCCUGCAUCAAGUGAAGGUGAAGGGACACCCAGGACCACAUCAAGCACUCAGGGCACCAGUGAAAGACAGACGACUGAGACCAGGGACACACAGCCUGAAGGAAGUGAAGGGGCCACAUCUAGCAUUCCAGGCACCAGUGAAACACAGACCACUGCGACCAGGGAUACUCAGCCUGAAGUGAUGGAACAACAAACACAACAUGCUCUGCUACUACACUGCCGCCUGCAGACACCUCACCCUCUGCAAUUCCUGAUAUCCAGGGAGCACCUAUAGAUCCUGCUGACUGGCCAGCCCUCUGUGAUGCGGUAAGGACAGAGUUAGUUAGCAGAGGACCAGACCAGUCCAGACUUUACAUUUCCAAAAAGAGAUGAUGGGAGAAGCUGCCACUACAACCACUUCUACAGGAAAUAAGUAAAUGGGGAGAAAAUCAAGAGAAGCUGGUUUGUAUAUUCAAGGAAAAAAAAUGCUGUAUUGCUUCUGCUGCAAGCUCUUUUCACAGAAAAAUUAUAACCUCAUUAGUAGUGACCUAAAUGACUGGAAGAAUUGUAGUGAGAUCCUGAAAAGCCACAAGCACAGUUCAGAGCAUUUGGAGCACAUGACCAGAUGGAAGGAAUUGGAGACUCGACUUGAAAAGGGCCAGACAAUUGAUCAAAUGGAAAUGGCACUCCUUCAAGCUGAAAAGAGGUGGUGUGAAGUCCUGACCAGGUUGGUGGCCAUAAUACAGUCUUUGGCCGAGUGAAAUAUUCCCUUGCGGGGGAAAUCAGACAGGCUAUACCAGCCAAACAAUGGAAACUUCCUUAAGGAAGUUGAGCUCAUUGUCACGGUCGUGGGGUGGAAAGGACAGAGGCGCAGACUGAAGGUCACAAGGGUAAUCCAUGUUUUAAUCAAACAAAAGAAAGAAGGACUCCAACAAAACAAAAAGGCAGCAACCAGUGACGUGGGUAUUCCUUACACAGGACAAACAAAACCAAAAUGAACCACGCCUUGGGGCCUACAAACUAAACUUAAAUAGGGUCCCCAAUUGGAGGCAAUGACUAACACCUGCCUCCAAUUGGGGAAACCAAAAAAAGGAGUAGAGGUGGCUAAAGGCCACCUCCUGUCCUGUCCUGGCUAUGCCCCGAGCCCAGCGCAGAGAUGGCUAGGGGCACAGCCAGGACGUGACACUCA
rnacentral:lncRNA from 1 species